CAGCAGGCCCUGGGGAAAUUGCAAGUGGACCCCUGCUGUCAUGGCAACGAGGCACCUUUUUAACGUGGUGACCCUCUUGAUUGAGCAGGGGGAGAGCAACUGGCCCUCUCCACCCCCAGCGCAGCAUCCCUCCCGUGGCUGCUGCUGGUGUCUGUCUUACGUUUCUUUUUAGACUGUGAGCCCUUUGGGGACAGGGCUCCAUCUCAUGUAUUUGUUAUUUCUCUGUGUAAACUGCCCUGAGCCAUUUUUGGAAGGGCGGUCUAGAAAUCGAAAUAAUCAUCAUAAUAAUUAUUAAUAAUAUUACAAAAAGCAGCUUUACUGGGAACAGCCUAUAUUCUGCGACGAUAUCUGUAACAACAACGAUAUUGACAAUAAACUCCAGCCAUCCCAGGUCCUGGGGAAGGGCUCGGCGUCUGGAUAAAACCAACCAGUCAACAGCCCCUAUCGGACUGUGUAAACAACAACAAUAACAGACGACUGCCUCCCCUCGUCGAGUGAUAGUUACGCCCACGUCGCGGUGGUCAGGAGUAGCCGUGGCUCGAGCCAGGAACUGGAUAAAGCUGCCCUGUGUGAGGAACCACGGCAGCAUGUUUCUCUCUGGAGGAGUCCGAAUCCUGGCCAGCUGUGCCAGAGACGGAGAGCUGGUCUUGGGCUAGCGAGCAUGAAUUGCCCCCUUUGCUAAGCAGGGUCUGCCUUGCUUGGCAAUGGGACGGGAGACCACGAAGCUAUCCACACGUGCAGGCCGCACUAGGCGAAGGAAGCCCAGCCCAGUUUGGGCUCAUGCCCGAUCCCAGCAGCACCUUAGCAGCAAACCUGCCUCCGGAGCGACCCUCGUAAACAGGGUGGAUCAUCUCCAGCAAUGUGACAAACUCCACGGAUUGCAAGCCCUUUGGGGCAGGGAACCUCUUCUUAUGCUGCAAUACAUACAGACGGUGCAAUAAAAACAGCAACGCCAUUAUCAUCAUCAUCUAAAACGCAACCCUCAACUUGAAUCCGAGAACCAGUAGGAAAGCCAGCCAACAGCGCAGAGCAGUACCAGGGAAGGAAGGGAAGGAGAAGGAUGGUGAGCCAAGAUGGUCAAAGUACCGGAAGCAGCCCACAGCAGAGAUAAAUCGGCUGUAGCUGGUACUGCUUACAAACCUUGGGAGGUCACCAGCACAGGAGGCAGCUGGGACCCCCACCAAGAAGCAGGAUGACUCUGAAGACCAAGCAGACCUUCAGUUCAUAGCCUUGGGUCACAGGUAUGGUGGAGCUGCAAAAGGCUGUCCCCCAAAGCCAAGGCUAGGCAAGACCACAACGUGACAACCCUUCACCCUACGGCAGGACUGCAGUGCACAACAUAAGGCAUAGGGGGGCUGGAUUCAGCCAUGGGGACACUUUUGCUGGCUCCAGGGCUGGGCCCAGAGUUUUGUGGUUUCUGAGGUGAGGUGGGAAAAUGCUGCCUUGCCCCAUGGUGCUGGUAGGGGUCUGCCCACACCUUUGAAAAAAAUCAAUGAAGUGGUGCCCACGAUCAG